UAACUUGACGUUGUUUUAAAGUUAAUAUAAAGUUGCGAGCUUAUGUGCAGGAACGACGGGGGGACGAGAGGGAAAGUCAGAAAGCAUGACGAUAAGCAAAGUGUCCCGCAGUAAGAUGAGCGUGACAGAGGUAGAGGAGUUUCUUAAAAAGCCGCCGGCCGGUUUCACGGUGGAGCGUCUUCCCUCGGGCCGCCGUGUCCGCAGCGACUCGGACACAUGUCUGGUGCUCAUCGAUGAUUUCUGCUCCUGCCGGGGGAGAGUGGCUUUCCAGGACUCGCUGGGGAGAAAAGUUAAAAUGCAUAAUUUAUGGGAGUACACGCGUGUCAGAAACAGCCUGCUGUCCAAGAGGAUUUAUCUGCUGAUGUCUGCCUGCGAGGAAAGCUUUCCACUUCCCGGCAAGAAGUCAGCCAAACAACCCAGAGUGUUGAAGCAGUAUGUCGUGUCCAUUGAUGGGAAUGACCCGUACAUCAGGUGGGAGAUGGAGAGAGGGCUGGACUGGGCCAUUUCCUCUGUCGCCGGGGAAAGCUACAGGGUGGAUAUUGACUUAAGCGAGGUGUUGCAGAUGUGGGCAGGAAGAAACUUCCGUGUUGUAACGGACAACGGGAGCGUCACACCUGUGUGGACAGAUACCUCCUUCACCCUGAAGUAUUAUUCUGAUGCUCUGUUUGACUUCCCACACUGGCUUGGAUUCAGUAAACGGAAAUUUAAGUUGGGGCUGGUCUGAGUUAGUGCUCAAUGGAAACCAAGUGCAUCUACCCUGUUUUUGGUGGAAUCCAUGUCUGCUCUCACAAGAAAACAGGAAGAGGAGCUCCUUGAUCCAUCGAUAAUGGCCCUCAUGAGUGAAAUCUUCAUGAUGGUCAUUUAGAUGAGGAGUUUUCAAACUCUUUCAUGUUCAGGACCCCCAGGUCAAGUUUCACCAAGCUGCAGACCUCCAUUUGAAGUGAUUUUUCCCUGAUAUGAAAGAUAUUUUGGUUUGUGAUAAAGUGUUCAGGUGUCAUACUUGGUCAUUGACCAACAGAUUCAAACUGGAGAGAUUAAAACAUUAUUAAAAUAUCACUCAUAUAUUGUAUCGUAACAGAUUUUAGUGAAUUAAAUGAUAGUGAAAUUAAACAACUCCUCAUUUUGCCGAGGACCAACUGGAAGCCCCUCAAAGACCCCUGGGAGUCCCCAGACCCCACUUUGAAAGCACCGAUUUAGGAUAUUCUGUAUCAGAUCAACCUACAUUAUAGGACUGCAGGAACUAUUUUUGUAGUUGCUUUUGGAGUCCAGAUAUUUCUUCUGUUCAUUGGAUGUAAACAUUGAUUUAAACAUUGUCAAACUGCACAUCUCAUGAUUCAAAUGAUGUCUGUAUUUGAGUUUAGAAGUUAAGUUUUAUAUGUGUGUGUUUUUGUAAGAUUUAUAAGUGUUGUAGGAGUUAAUUGGGAAAACAGUCUGUUUAUUUGAGUAAUAAUAUAUGGAGACUUAAAUAAAUGAAUCAGUUUUCUUAGAGCGGAAGA